rnacentral:lncRNA from 10 species
AAUGAAUGAAAUUGUUUUAAAGAUUACCAAGAAGAUAUAAAAUAUCAAAUGCGGCAUUAAUGUAUGUCAAAAAGAGGAAAAGGUGAAGAUCAGGAGGCACAACAUUCCAAGGAUAUAAAAGCAAAUGUGAAAAUGCCAUAAAGUGGACAUCGGCUUGGCCUGUUGAAGGCUGAAAAAUCCAAGCAAAGUCUAUGUUGCCUUCACCAGUGUUCAGAUACACCUGGAAGCUGCUUUCUGAAAAGAUGGAGACCAUUUUUACCCAACAGCAUCAGCUCAGAUUCUUGUGAUUAUAACACAGCAUGAUUGCUGCUUCAUGCCUUCUGCCAUGUGAGGACACAGUGAGAAGAUGGACAACUAUGAACCAGGAAGUGAGCCCUCACCAGACGCUAAGUCUGACAGUGCCUUGAUCUUGAACUUUCUGGCCUCCAGAAAUGUAAAAAAAAAAAAAGUAUGUUGUUUAUAA